UACGAAGGGGGCUAGCGUUGUUCGGAUUUACUGGGCGUAAAGCGCACGUAGGCGGAUCGUUAAGUCGGGGGUGAAAUCCUGGAGCUCAACUCCAGAACUGCCUUCGAUACUGGCGAUCUUGAAUCCGGAAGAGGUGAGUGGAACUCCUAGUGUAGAGGUGGAAUUCGUAGAUAUUAGGAAGAACACCAGUGGCGAAGGCGGCUCACUGGUCCGGUACUGACGCUGAGGUGCGAAAGCGUGGGGAGCAAACAGG
rnacentral:rRNA from 1 species